rnacentral:rRNA from 1 species
UGGGGAAUAUUGCACAAUGGGCGCAAGCCUGAUGCAGCCAUGCCGCGUGUAUGAAGAAGGCCUUCGGGUUGUAAAGUACUUUCAGCGGGGAGGAAGGGAGUAAAGUUAAUACCUUUGCUCAUUGACGUUACCCGCAGAAGUAGCACCGGCUAACUCCGUGCCAGCAGCCGCGGUAAUACGGAGGGUGCAAGCGUUAAUCGGAAUUACUGGGCGUAAAGCGCACGCAGGCGGUUUGUUAAGUCAGAUGUGAAAUCCCCGGGCUCAACCUGGGAACUGCAUCUGAUACUGGCAAGCUUGAGUCUCGUAGAGGGGGGUAGAAUUCCAUGUGUAGCGGUGAAAUGCGUAGAGAUGUGGAGGAAUACCGGUGGCGAAGGCGGCCCCCUGGACAAAGACUGACGCUCAGGUGCGAAAGCGUGGGGAGCAAACAGG